UACCAGCACCCCGAGUGGUCGGGACGUUAUUGGGCCUAAAGCAUCCGUAGCCGGUUCUACAAGUCUUCCGUUAAAUCCACCUGCUUAACAGAUGGGCUGCGGAAGAUACUAUAGAGCUAGGAGGCGGGAGAGGCAAGCGGUACUCGAUGGGUAGGGGUAAAAUCCGUUGAUCCAUUGAAGACCACCAGUGGCGAAGGCGGCUUGCCAGAACGCGCCUCGACGGUGAGGGAUGAAAGCUGGGGGAGCCAAACCGG
rnacentral:rRNA from 1 species